UUGCUCUCUUUUGAAGUUUCACAAGGGGCAAAAACGCAGCGCCGCUGCAGGAAGAGAGUGCGAUGGAGAGAACCAGAGUCAAAGAUAGGGAGAUGGAGCAACAAAAUGAAAGAGUGAGAAAGGGAGAGAGCUCUAGCAAGGUUGCAGGCAGAUAACCUGUGGAUGCAUCUUCCAAAACUUGCGUAUCUUGCUCAACGAAGCGAACUCGACGACAUACUCGGGUAGCAGAUUGUGUAUCUUGCUUCUGAGAGUUUUGGCACUGUACUCUAGCUUCUGCGACUCCACCCAAACAGGAACCACGUAAUGGGUGUUCACCUCAUGCACAGCGGUGCCGUCGGCCAGUCUUUGGCAGAUGGCAUCCUUCCAUUUCCGAACAUCACACAAGGGCGAGAAGUCCGGGACCAGGAGGGAGGCAUCCUCCUCAUAGUUCAAGUGUAUGACAGUCUUGAGUUCUUCUAUAGAGAUUCCAUCAAGUGAUUGAAGAUUCAGUAAAUUUUGUGCUUAUGAAGUAGAAGAAUUGAGGCGUUGAAGGCUUGAGACUAUACAGUUCUUUGUAGAUGCCUUGAUAUUUUGUGGAGACUUAUUGGACAGUCUAUGGGUGGCUCGCCCUUAUGCUUUGGGCGUUUUUUUUUUAGAAAAAAAAAACCAUUGGUAAAUAAUGUCCUUGGAGGCUUGGAUUAUCUUGCUAGCCAGGCUUGUUAGCAAUUUAAAAGUUAGUUUUGAAUGUCAAAUCAGAAAGUUAGAUCAGAAUGAGAUCUUUCAAUAUAAAAUUUGGAUUGGGAUUGAAAUCGGAUAUUGAAUUAAAAAGUCGGAUUCGGAUUUUAA